UGUGAAGUGUUCGGAUUGGCAGCUUAGGGUGGCAACACAUCAGGUCUGCCGAGAAGUUCAUUAAACCCUCCCACCUAGAGGAAGGAGAAGUCGUAACAAGGUUUCCGUAGGUGAACCUGCGGAAGGAUCAUUGA
rnacentral:rRNA from 1 species